rnacentral:rRNA from 1 species
GACGAACGCUGGCGGCGUGCUUAACACAUGCAAGUCGAACGAGGGGCGAACGGGGGAGUAAAACGGGGUUAAUCUGCCUUGCACUUCGGGAUAAGCGUGGGAAACUGGGUCUAAUCCCGGAUAGUGCAAGAUGAGCUCGGGGCCUUUCAGCUUGUGGGUGGGUGAAUGGCUACCAAGGCGCGAAGGGUAGCCGGCCUGCGCGGGUGACCGGCCACAUUGGGACUGAGAUACGGCCCAGACUCGUACGGGAGGCAGCAGUGGGGAAUAUUGCACAAUGGGCGGAAGCAUGAUGCAGCGACGACGCGUGGGGGAUGAAGGCCUUCGGGUUGUAAACUCCUUUCGACAGGGACGCGGUACCUGUAUAAGAAGCACCGGCUAACUACGUGCCAGCAGCCGCGGUAAUAC